UAGAGAGAGUGUGAUGCUAGAUAUCCUAUUAGGAAAUGAGGGUGAGAGCUUGGUUUGCCAUCGAUCCUGCUCAUGGAUAGGCAUAUGGACGUAAGGAAGAUGGAAGGUUAUCAACAUUGUGUAGAUGCUGCCUGACCACUGAAUUCCUUCAGUAUUUUGCAGCCACUAAACAAGAAACCCAAAAGAACCCAUAAAGAAAAUUCAAGCAACACCCAAUGUGCAGAGAGGAAAAAAAUCCUGCAAACAAUAAAAGCAAGCAAACAGCAUUCAGAAUGAACGUGAGUCCACAGACACGAAGCCUGGAGCAGCAGAGAAAGACUUCACAAAGCUCGCAGACAUGAAGCCCAGAGCAGCCUUAUGGACAAAGAGCAAUUCCAGUCCUGUAAUGUGUAAAAUGAGUUUCCAAUUCAUAGUAAUAUCCACAAUGUUGAAAGCAUUUGUGUAUAGUUUUUCAUUGAUUCUAUUGCAGUUCUCUGUUUUUCUUCGAACACCUGCAAGAAAAUGAAUGUCAGGUUAG